rnacentral:tmRNA from 1 species
GGGCCUGUAUUGGUUUCGACAGCAUAGGUUACGGUAGGUGGAAGCAUGCAGUGCGUUGGGUAAUUAGCACUUAAAUCUGAAUACUCAAACUUUAAAUGGCAAUACACAGUAUGCCAUGGCUGCCUAAUUAGUAAUUAGUCAGUCAUUCGGGCCGCCGCACAGGUUUACCUGUUACCAGGUGCCGCCGCCGACUCAAAACAAACACAGGUUGCUGCAAUAGAAGGCUGUGACUAUUGCAAAAGAAUAUACAGCUAAGCAUUGAAUUGGUUUGUUCAUUUCCGGUUCAUUGCCGACAAUUAAUAAUGAAAUAAGCAUGUAGAAGACUUAUGGUAAAUAUGUUUGGACAGGAGUUCGAUUCUCCUCAGGUCCACCU